ensembl:misc_RNA Metazoa_SRP Metazoan signal recognition particle RNA
GCUGGGUGUGGUGGCUCAUGCCUGUAAUCCUGGCACUUUGGGAGGCUGAGGUGGGCGGAUCACCUGAGGCCAGGGGUUCAAGACCAGCCUGGCCAACAUGGUGAAAUCCCAUCUCUA